UAUGCAGGGGUGCCCUUUGGGCUGAGAUCAUACCCUUUGAACCUGUUCGGGUCAUGCCGGCGUAGGAAGCAAAA
rnacentral:ncRNA from 1 species